AGAGUUUGAUCCUGGCUCAGAACGAACGCUGGCGGCACGCCUAACACAUGCAAGUCGAGCGCCCAGCAAUGGGAGCGGCGGACGAGUGAGUAACACGUGGGAACAUGCCUUUCGGUUCGGCACAACUCAGGGAAACUUGAGCUAAUUCCGGAUGCGCCCGUAAGGGGAAAGAUUUAUCGCCGAAAGAUUGGCCCGCGUAAGAUUAGCUAGUUGGUGAGGUAAUGGCUCACCAAGGCAACGAUCUUUAGCUGGUUUGAGAGAACGACCAGCCACGUUGGGACUGAGACACGGCCCAAACUCCUACGGGAGGCAGCAGUGGGGAAUCUUGGACAAUGGGGGAAACCCUGAUCCAGCGAUGCCGCGUGAGUGAUGAAGGCCUUCGGGUUGUAAAACUCUUUUACCCGGGAAGAUAAUGACUGUACCGGGAGAAUAAGCUCCGGCUAACUUCGUGCCAGCCGCCGCGGUAAUAC
rnacentral:rRNA from 1 species